rnacentral:rRNA from 1 species
AUUGAACGCUGGCGGCAGGCUUAACACAUGCAAGUCGAGCGAGCGGCGGACUGGUGAGUAAUGUCUGGGAAACUGCCUGAUGGAGGGGGAUAACUACUGGAAACGGUAGCUAAUACCGCAUACCAUCAGAUGUGCCCAGAUGGGUUUAGCUAGUAGGUGAGGUAUUGGCGCACCUAGGCGACGAUCCCUAGCUGGUCUGAGAGGAUGACCAGCCACACUGGAACUGAGACACGGCCCAGACUCCUACGUGAGGCAGCAGUGGGGAAUAUUGCACAAUGGGCGCAAGCCUGAUGCAGCCAUGCCGCGUGUGUGAAGAAUGCCUUCGGGUUGUAAAGCACUGUCAGCGAGGAGGCGUUACUCGAAGAGGAAGCACCGGCUAACUCCGUGCCAGCAGCCGCGGUAAUUC